GACGAACGCUGGCGGCGUGCUUAACACAUGCAAGUCGAACGGAAAGGCCCUGCUUUUGUGGGGUGCUCGGGGGGCGAACGGGUAAGUAACACGUGAGUAACCUGCCCUUGACUUUGGGAUAACUUAAGGAAACUGGGGCUAACACCGGAUAGGAGCUCCUGCGGCAUGGUGGGGGUUGGAAAGUUUCGGCGGUUGGGGUUGGACCGGCGGCUUUUCGGUUUGUUGGUGGGGUAGUGGCUUACCAAGGAUUUGACGGGUCGCCGGCCUGAGAGGGUGACCGGCCACAAUGGGACUGAGAGACGGCCCAGACUCCUACGGGAGGCAGCAGGGGGGAGUAUUGCCCAAUGGGGGGAAGCGUGAUGAAGCAGCGCCGGGUGCGGGAUGACGUCCUUCGGGGUGUAAAAAGCUUUCGCCUGUGACGAGGGGUGAGUGACGGUAAUGGAUAAAGAAGCACCGGCUAACUACGUG
rnacentral:rRNA from 1 species